rnacentral:rRNA from 1 species
AGGGCGCAGGGCGGAUGCCUUGGCACCAGGAGCCGAAGAAGGACGUGAUAAGCUGCGAAAAGCUGCGGGGAGGAGCAAAUAUCCAUUGAUCCGCAGGUAUCCGAAUGGGGAAACCCGGCAGAAAGAACUUCUGUCACCGUAUGAUGAAUCCAUAGUCAUACGGAGGGAACCCGGCGAACUGAAACAUCUAAGUAGCCGGAGGAAGAGGAAGAAACAUCGAAUCCCUAAGUAGUGGCGAGCGAAAGGGGACGAAGCCCAAACCAAGGAUUUAUCCUUGGGGUUGAGGACCACAUACGAAGAAGCAGUAGGUAGCAGAACGGUUUUGGGAAAGCCGGCCAAAGAGAGUGAAAGCCUCGUAUGCGAAACAGACUGUGAUUCAGUGGUAUCCGGAGUACUACGGGACACGAGAAACCCCGUAGGAAGCAGGGGGGACCACCCCCCAAGGCGAAAUACUACCUGGUGACCGAUAGAGUAUAGUACCGUGAGGGAAAGGUGAAAAGAACCCCGGGAGGGGAGUGAAAGAGAACCUGAAACCCUGUGUCUACAAGCUGCGGAAGAGCGACUAACGCUCGACCGUGUACUUUUUGUAGAACGGUCCGGCGAGUUGCCGUUGCUGGCAGGUUAAGUACUUAAGGUACGGAGCCGAAGGGAAACCAAGUCUUAAUAGGGCGGUAAGUCAGUAACGGCAGACCCGAAACCGGGUGACCUACCCAUGGCCAGGAUGAAGUCUGCGUAAAAGUGGAUGGAGGUCCGAACACACGUCUGUUGAAAAAGGCGGUGAUGAGCUGUGGGUAGCGGAGAAAUUCCAAUCGAACUCGGAGAUAGCUGGUUCUCCCCGAAAUAGCUUUAGGGCUAGCCUCGGUAUAGUCUAAUGGAGGUAGAGCACUGAAUCGCUGCGGGGGCGUCAAAGUCUACCAAUGCGUAUCAAACUCCGAAUGCCAUAUAGAUGUUUACCGGGAGUCAGACUGUAUGAGAUAAGUCGGACAGUCAAAAGGGAAACAGCCCAGACCAUCUGCUAAGGUCCCAAAGUGUAUGUUAAGUGGUAAAGGAUGUGGGGUUUCGAAGACAACUAGGAUGUUGGCUCAGAAGCAGCCAUUCAUUCAAAGAGUGCGUAAUAGCUCACUAGUCGAGAGGUCCUGCGCCGAAAAUGUCCGGGGCUGAAACAUAACACCGAAGCAAUGGAAUAUACCGCAAGGUAUGUUGGUAGGGGAGCAUUGAUAACACGAAGAAGCGGUACCGUAAGGAGCCGUGGAGGGUUAUCAAGAGAGAAUGCCGGAAUGAGUAGCGAGAUGAAGGUGAGAAUCCUUCAGGCCGUAUAUCCAAGGUUUCCAGGGUAAAGCUGAUCUUCCCUGGGGAAGUCGGGACCUAAGCUCAGGCUGAGAAGCGUAGGCGAUGGACAACUGGUUGAUAUUCCAGUACCUCUGGCUAUCAGAAAUGUGGGGACACGGAGAUUCAGGGAGUGCCUGUAAAGGAUUCAGGUGCAAGCAUGGUUUAUGCCGGGCAGGCAAAUCCGUCCGGGUAAGUGAACUGUGUGAUGCGGACCGAAAUAUAAGUAGGGAAGCUCCUGGGAGAGCCGUCGAGAAAAGCCGCUAUUGUGUAGUCAGAGCCCGUACCGUAAACCGACACAGGUGGAUGGGGAGAGUAUCCCAAGGCCGGCGGGAGAAGCAUUGUUAAGGAACUCGGCAAAAUGGCCCCGUAAGUUCGCGAUAAGGGGUGCCUGUAGAGAUACAGGCCGCAGAGAAUAGGCUCAAGCAACUGUUUAGCAAAAACACAGGUCUAUGCGAAACCGUAAGGUGAUGUAUAUGGGCUGACGCCUGCCCGGUGCUGGAAGGUUACGGGGAGUGCUUAGGAGCAAUCCGAAGGUACGAACUUAAGCCCCAGUAAACGGCGGCCGUAACUAUAACGGUCCUAAGGUAGCGAAAUUCCUUGUCGGGUAAGUUCCGACCCGCACGAAAGGCGUAAUGAUUUGAGCGCUGUCUCAACAAUGCACCCGGUGAAAUUGAAGUACCAGUGAAGAUGCUGGUUACCUGCGCCAAGACGGAAAGACCCCAUGGAGCUUUACUCCAUCUUGGUACUGGGAUUAGAUAUAUGAUGUACAGGAUAGGUGGGAGACUAAGAAGCAGGGACGCCAGUUUCUGCGGAGUCAAUGUUGGGAUACCACCCUUCGUGUAUCUGGUUUCUAACCUUUGCCCGUUAUCCGGGCAGGGGACAAUGCCAGGAGGGGAGUUUGACUGGGGCGGUCGCCUCCGA